rnacentral:rRNA from 1 species
UACGUAGGGAGCAAGCGUUGUCCGGAAUCAUUGGGCGUAAAGCGCGCGUAGGUGGCUCCAUAAGUCCGUUGUGAAAGCAAGAGUCACCAUUCGAAUGAGCCGAUGGAUACUGUGGAGCUAGAGUACGGAAGAGGCGAGUGGAAUUCCUGGUGUAGCGGUGGAAUGCGCAGAUAUCAGGAGGAACACCAAUAGCGAAGGCAGCUCGCUGGGACGUUACUGACACUGAGGCGCGAAAGCGUGGGGAGCGAACAGG